rnacentral:rRNA from 1 species
UACAGAGGUCUCAAGCGUUGUUCGGAAUGAUUGGGCGUAAAGCGUCCGCAGGUGGCUAUGUAAGUCUGCUGUUAAAGAGCAAAGCUUAACUUUGUAAAAGCAGUGGAAACUACAUAGCUAGAGUGCGUUCGGGGCAGAGGGAAUUCCUGGUGUAGCGGUGAAAUGCGUAGAGAUCAGGAAGAACACCGGUGGCGAAGGCGCUCUGCUAGGCCGCAACUGACACUGAGGGACGAAAGCUAGAGGAGCGAAUGGG